rnacentral:rRNA from 1 species
AUUGCAUUCGAUACUGGUUAGCUAGAGUAUGGGAGAGGAUGGUAGAAUUCCAGGUGUAGCGGUGAAAUGCGUAGAGAUCUGGAGGAAUACCGAUGGCGAAGGCAGCCAUCUGGCCUAAUACUGACACUGAGGUGCGAAAGCAUGGGGAGCAAACAGGAUUAGAUACCCUGGUAGUCCAUGCCGUAAACGAUGUCUACUAGCCGUUGGGGCCCUUGAGGCUUUAGUGGCGCAGCUAACGCGAUAAGUAGACCGCCUGGGGAGUACGGUCGCAAGACUAAAACUCAAAUGAAUUGACGGGGGCCCGCACAAGCGGUGGAGCAUGUGGUUUAAUUCGAUGCAACGCGAAGAACCUUACCUGGCCUUGACAUACAGAGAACUUUCCAGAGAUGGAUUGGUGCCUUCGGGAACUCUGAUACAGGUGCUGCAUGGCUGUCGUCAGCUCGUGUCGUGAGAUGUUGGGUUAAGUCCCGCAACGAGCGCAACCCUUUUCCUUAUUUGCCAGCACUUCGGGUGGGAACUUUAAGGAUACUGCCAGUGACAAACUGGAGGAAGGCGGGGACGACGUCAAGUCAUCAUGGCCCUUACGGCCAGGGCUACACACGUGCUACAAUGGUCGGUACAAAGGGUUGCUACUGCGCGAGCAGAUGCUAAUCUCAAAAAGCCGAUCGUAGUCCGGAUCGCAGUCUGCAACUCGACUGCGUGAAGUCGGAAUCGCUAGUAAUCGCGGAUCAGAAUGCCGCGGUGAAUACGUUCCCGGGCCUUGUACACACCGCCCGUCACACCAUGGGAGUUUGUUGCACCAGAAGUAGGUAGUCUAACCUU